CUCCUACGGGAGGCAGCAGUGGGGAAUAUUGCACAAUGGGGGAAACCCUGAUGCAGCGACGCCGCGUGGAGGAAGAAGGUCUUCGGAUUGUAAACUCCUGUUGUUGAGGAAGAUAAUGACGGUACUCAACAAGGAAGUGACGGCUAACUACGUGCCAGCAGCCGCGGUAAAACGUAGGUCACAAGCGUUGUCCGGAAUUACUGGGUGUAAAGGGAGCGCAGGCGGGAAGACAAGUUGGAAGUGAAAUCUAUGGGCUCAACCCAUAAACUGCUUUCAAAACUGUUUUUCUUGAGUAGUGCAGAGGUAGGCGGAAUUCCCGGCGUAGCGGUGGAAUGCGUAGAUAUCGGGAGGAACACCAGUGGCGAAGGCGGCCUACUGGGCACCAACUGACGCUGAGGCUCGAAAGUGUGGGUAGCAAACAGGAUUAGAUACCCUGGUAGUCCACACCGUAAACGAUGAUUACUAGGUGUUGGAGGAUUGACCCCUUCAGUGCCGCAGUUAACACAAUAAGUAAUCCACCUGGGGAGUACGACCGCAAGGUUGAAACUCAAAGGAAUUGACGGGGGCCCGCACAAGCAGUGGAGUAUGUGGUUUAAUUCGACGCAACGCGAAGAACCUUACCAAGUCUUGACAUCCUGCGACGAUGCUGGAAACAGUAUUUUCCUUCGGGACGCAGAGACAGGUGGUGCAUGGUUGUCGUCAGCUCGUGUCGUGAGAUGUUGGGUUAAGUCCCGCAACGAGCGCAACCCUUACUGUCAGUUACUACGCAAGAGGACUCUGGCAGGACUGCCGUUGACAAAACGGAGGAAGGUGGGGAUGACGUCAAAUCAUCAUGCCCUUUAUGACUUGGGCUACACACGUGCUACAAUGGCGUAAACAAAGGGAAGCAAAGCUGUGAAGCCGAGCAAAUCUCAAAAAUAACGUCUCAGUUCGGACUGUAGUCUGCAACCCGACUACACGAAGCUGGAAUCGCUAGUAAUCGCAGAUCAGAAUGCUGCGGUGAAUACGUUCCCGGGCCUUGUACACACCGC
rnacentral:rRNA from 1 species